rnacentral:misc_RNA from 1 species
CUCAUGCUCUUCACACCGCUGUAUUAAGGAGGGAAGGGAAAUAAAAUUCUCACUUCUGAAAAAUGGAUUUGAUUUCACCUUGGAAUAUGAGAGUCUCUGUAAUCUCAGUUCCACCAAACAAGAGCUUCUCUUACGGCUACCGGUCUUCUCUUUCAAACCACAACUUCGCGUUUUCAUUUUGGAUACAGCCGUUUCAUUUAAGUCCAAUAAAGUCUAGCACACUUCAUGCCAAGAAGAGAAACUCGCAGCCUGAGCCAGUUCUCAAACCAAC